GCGGGUAUAGCUCAAUGGUAGAGCAGCAGCCUUCCAAGCUGAAUACGCGGGUUCGAUUCUCCGCUACCCGCUCCA
rnacentral:tRNA from 1 species